AGAGAGUAAGAAAGAGGAGGAGAAGAACUCUGAAGAAGAAGGAG
rnacentral:sRNA from 1 species